AACGAACGCUGGCGGCAUGCCUAACACAUGCAAGUCGAACGAGACCUUCGGGCCUAGUGGCGCACGGGUGCGUAACGCGUGGGAACCUGCCCUUAGGUUCGGAAUAACUCCCCGAAAGGGGUCCUAAUACCGGAUAAUGUCUUCGGACCAAAGAUUUAUCGCCUUUGGAUGGGCCCGCGUUGGAUUAGCUAGUUGGUAGGGUAAAAGCCUACCAAGGCGACGAUCCAUAGCUGGUCUGAGAGGAUGAUCAGCCACACUGGGACUGAGACACGGCCCAGAAUCCUACGGGAGGCAGCAGUGGGGAAUAUUGGACAAUGGGCGAAAGUCUGAUCCAGCAAUGCCGCGUGAGUGAUGAAGGCCUUAGGGUUGUAAAGCUCUUUUACACGGGAUGAUAAUGACAGUACCGGGAGAAUAAGCUCCGGCUAACUCCGUG
rnacentral:rRNA from 1 species